rnacentral:rRNA from 1 species
UACGGGGGGGGGCAAGCGUUGUUCGGAAUUACUGGGCGUAAAGGGCGCGUAGGCGGCCUGCUAAGUCGGACGUGAAAUCCCUCGGCUCAACCGGGGAACUGCGUCCGAUACUGGUGGGCUCGAAUCCGGGAGAGGGAUGUGGAAUUCCAGGUGUAGCGGUGAAAUGCGUAGAUAUCUGGAGGAGCACCGGUGGCGAAGGCGGCAUCCUGGACCGGUAUUGACGCUGAUGCGGCGAAAGCCCAGGGGGAGCAAAACGGG